rnacentral:lncRNA from 1 species
UUAAUUUUUUUUUAGUUGUUAAUGGACCUUUAUUUAUUUUUAUGUGGUGCUGAGAAUCAAACCCAGUGCCUCACACGUUCUAGGCAAGCGCUCUACCACUGAGCUGCAAUCCCAGCCUUAUCUGUUGUUUUUGUUGUUUCUGUUUUGUUUUCAUUUUGGUCUGUCAUUGGCCUGUGUUUUGGUGUCAUAGCUAAGAAAUUAUUGUCUAGAUCAGUGUCAUGAAGCUUUUCUAUUUUAUUUUCUCCUAGUACUUUUACUGUCGGGGUUUAUAUUUAAGUGUUUAAUAUGUUUUGAGAUGGAUUUUGUAUGUGGUAGAAGAGUCUAGUUUUAUUCUUUUGCAUUUAGAUAAUCUGUUUUCAAGCACCAUUUAUUGAAGAGGCUAUCUCAUUCUUAUUGUAAGUUUUUCUCACCUUUGUCAAAACUCUGAAUCAUAUGUAUGUGGGUUUAUUUUUGAACUUUCUAUUCUGUUCCUUCGCUCUAUAUAUCUGUUUUUAUGCCAAUACCAUAUUCUUCUGAUUAUGGUAGCUUUUCAAUAAACUUUGAAAUUGGGAAGUGUGAUAACCUCUAGCAUUGUUUUUCUUGCUAAUAAUCAUCACUUUAACUAUUUGAAAUCUUUUGUAGUUUCUAGUAAUUUGGGGAUUUUUUUCUAUUUCUGUAAAAAUAUUAUUAGGAUUUUGAUGGGAAUUGCAGUAAAUCUGUAAGUCCCUUUGGUAAAUAUGAACACUUUAACAAUUUGAUUCUUUCAAUUCAUGAACAUGGGGUGUCCUUUUAUUUAUUUGUGUCUUAAAUUUCUUCAAUCAGUGUUUUAUAGUUUUCAGUGUACAAGCCUUUCAUCUCCUUGGUUGAGUUUAUUCUUAAGCACUUUAUUCUUCUUCAUGCCAUUAUAAUUGGAUUUUUCUUAGUUUACCUUUUGAACAGUGUGUUAAUCAGCUUUUCAUCACCAAAAUACCUGAGAAGAACAACUUAAAAAAGGAAAAGUUUACCUUGAACUCUUGGUUUCAGAAGUUCAGUCCAUGGUUGGGUGACGCCAUUGCUCUGGGGCCCAGGAUAGGCAGAUGGCAUCAUGGCAUUAGGGCAUGGAAGAGGAAAGCUGCUUAUCACACGGCUGCCAAAAAGCAGAGAGAAACAGGAGCCAGGGAUAAGAUACAUAAUCCCCAAGGGCACAGCCCCCAGUGACCUACUUCAUGCUCUCCCCGCCUGUAGUUACUACCCAGUAAUCCAUUCAAAUUAGGAAUCCAACAAGUGUAUUAAUCUACUGAUUAGGUCAUAGCUGUCAUAAUCUGAUCAUUUCAUCUAUGAACAUUCCUGUGUUGUCUCACAUAUGAGCUUUCAGGGGACCCUUUAUAUUCAUACCAUAACAAAUAGGUUGUUGUUUGUGUUUAUAAUAAAUGCAACUUACUUUUUGUGUGUUGAUUUAGUGUCCUGAAAAUUUAAUAAGUUCACUUGCUGAUUUUAGUGGUUUUGCAUGUGUAUGUGUGGAGUCUUUAGGGUUUUCUAAAUGUAAGAUUGUGUCACUUAUAAACAAAUAUGGUUUAUUUCUUCCCUCCCACUUCGGAUGAUGACUUUUAUUUCUUUGUCUUGCCUAAUCUCUGGCCUGGACUUCAGCACUAUGUUGAAUAGAAGUGGUGAGUGUGGGCUUCCCUGCCUUGUUCCAGAUCUGGAAAAGCUUUUCACCAUUGAGUACAAUGAGUACAUUGAGAAGGGCACUUUUAAUUCACUAAUUUUAAAUACCAGUUUCCAAAAUAAAUAAUUUUAUCCGUCUAGGCAGUUAUAUCCAAAUACAGUUUAGGUUUAGAUUAUAGAAGGAUAAUUUAACCAAUGUUAGUGAUUAAUAAUGGUUAAACAAAAACCUACCUUAGAUACUGUUAAUGUGCCUCUAAUAUAUACUCAUUUAUCACUCUGAAAGAACAGAUAGAAUUCAGUUAAUGAUCCAAAGCAGUUCCUCCUCUUCUUGCCAUUCCAAACUAUGCUGUACCAUUAUAAUAUCCACAAGGAGAAAAGUUGCUUGGCCAUUGCCAUCAACUUCACCUUCACAACUUUUCUAUAGGGUUGGAAUUAGAAACGUCAGUUAAAAGCAAAUUCUGUAAAUUCUCACCAUCAUGUCCUUAUUCUAACUGAAGUCCUGCUUCUGUGACUCUUGCUUGUCUUUUUUGUUUGUUUGUUUUUGUACCUCAUAUUUCUUUCAUUAUUUGAAAUUGAAGCCACUGCAACAUUACCUUUUGGAAAAAUAGGUAAUUUUUUCCUAAAUUUGUAUUAAUAUCUCUACUCUGUCUACAUGGAUAAGUUAUUCUGAAUAUGAUAAUGUACAGUUCAAUGUAUGAGUUGAUGCUACAUUCAUAGUAGAGAACCAUCUAGAAAAAAAGCAUAUUAGGUUGAAAUUUAAAAUUUUAUUCUGAUUUUCCCGUAGAAACAAUGUCAUCAAGUAUUUAUUUUUAUUGCUGAGUAGCUUUCCAUUUUGGAUAUGCCAUAUGUGUUUAUUCAUUCAAAUAUUGAUGUUUAUGUUCUUGUUAGCUUUUGACUGUUGAAAAUAAAAUGUCUGUGAGCACCCAUGUACAAGUCUUUCUUUAUAUAUAAGCUUUCAUUUCUCUUAAGUUAAUACAUAGGAGGAGAAUAACUGAAUUAUAUGACAGGCAUGUUUACCUUUUAAGGAAAUUGGCAAAUUGUUUUCUAAAGGACGUACCAUUUUACAUUCCCAAGCAGUUUAUGAG